UCUUUUUUAUUAUACUUAAAUCAUUCCCGCCCUGGGUGGAAUUAAUUAACAACGACGCCUGACAAUAAAAUGCUUUUGUUACAACCAGGAAUCGAACCUGGCUUCACGCACUUGCAACACCUUGUCCUUACCACUUGACCAUCUCGCCUACCCUUGCUUUAACUCUUUUUUAUUAUACUUAAAUCAUUCCCGCCCUGGGUGGAGUUAAUUAACAACGACGCCUGACAAUAAAAUGCUUUUGUUACCACCAGGAAUCGAACCUGGCUUCACGCACUUGCAACACCUUGUCCUUACCACUUGACCAUCUCGCCUACCCUUGCUUUAACUCUUUUUUAUUAUACUUAAAUCAUUCCCGCCCUGGGUGGAAUUAAUUAACAACGACGCCUGACAAUAAAAUGCUUUUGUUACAACCAGGAAUCGAACCUGGCUUCACGCACUUGCAACACUUAGCACUUGACCAUCUCGCCUACCCUUGCU